rnacentral:tRNA from 1 species
GUUUACAUAGUUUAACAAAAACAUUACACUUUCACUGUAAAAAUAAAGAACCUUUUGUAAAUU